AUUGAACGCUGGCGGCAUGCUUUACACAUGCAAGUCGAACGGUAACAGGCCGCAAGGUGCUGACGAGUGGCGAACGGGUGAGUAAUGCAUCGGAACGUGCCCAGUCGUGGGGGAUAACGCAGCGAAAGCUGCGCUAAUACCGCAUACGAUCUAUGGAUGAAAGCGGGGGACCGUAAGGCCUCGCGCGAUUGGAGCGGCCGAUGUCAGAUUAGGUAGUUGGUGGGGUAAAGGCUCACCAAGCCAACGAUCUGUAGCUGGUCUGAGAGGACGACCAGCCACACUGGGACUGAGACACGGCCCAGACUCCUACGGGAGGCAGCAGUGGGGAAUUUUGGACAAUGGGCGCAAGACUGAUCCAGCAAUGCCGCGUGCAGGAAGAAGGCCUUCGGGUUGUAAACUGCUUUUGUACGGAACGAAUCGGUCCUGGUUAAUACCCGGGGCUAAUGACGGUACCGUAAGAAUAAGCACCGGCUAACUACGUGCCAGCCGCCGCGGUAA
rnacentral:rRNA from 1 species